CCUACGGGUUGCAGCAGUAGGGAAUCUUCCGCAAUGGACGAAAGUCUGACGGAGCAACGCCGCGUGAGUGAUGAAGGCUUUCGGGUCGUAAAACUCUGUUGUUAGGGAAGAACAAGUGCUAGUUGAAUAAGCUGACACCUUGAUGGUACCUAACCAGAAAGCCACGGCUAACUACGUGCCAGCAGCCGCGGUAAUACGUAGGUGGCAAGCGUUAUCCGGAAUUACUGGGCGUAAAGCGCGCGCAGGUGGUUUCUUAAGUCUGAUGUGAAAGCCCACGGCUCAACCGUGGAGGGUCAUUGGAAACUGGGAGACUUGAGUGCAGAAGAGGAAAGUGGAAUUCCAUGUGUAGCGGUGAAAUGCGUAGAGAUAUGGAGGAACACCAGUGGCGAAGGCGACUUUCUGGUCUGUAACUGACACUGAGGCGCGAAAGCGUGGGGAGCAAACAGGAUUAGAUACCCCGGUAGUC
rnacentral:rRNA from 1 species